rnacentral:lncRNA from 1 species
UUUAGUGAGUUGGUUCAAAUUUUGUAAUGUAAUGUACAUCUCUGUAAUGUAUGCAGGUACAAGCUUUCAGCUUCUACUUUGGCUUAUACAAAAAUGUGUACAUUCAACACCAGUGUUGCUUGAAGGUGCUACCCUGGCGCUGGACAACACUGGUGCUGUCUCACUGCCCUUGAACAUCUACAUGCUCACAACAUCCAUACCACAUACCAGAUUCUCUACCUUGAAAAUCAGGGUGUGUUUGUAUUUAUGUGGACACUUACAUGACUGCAUCAUCCCUUGGUGGCUGCAAGGAAAUUUGAGCCCCAGGCACCUUAUCCAGAGUCCUUCCUGGGCUGGGCUAUAGAGGAAUGGUUGUACCCACAGCAGAAGGAAAGCAAAGGGUCCAAACAGCAGCUCUGCAAAGCCUUGUGUAUGGGAAGUAGGCAGAAACAAACCUGGAGGUCCCUGCUCUGGUAAGUGUCUUUUGUUCUUCAAGAGGACAUUACAGAUCUCUUUUAUUCAUAC